CUGCAGCCCGAGUGGUGAUCGAUUUUAUUGAGCCUAAAGCGUCCGUAGCCGGACUAGUAAACUCUUGGGUAAAUUGGGCAGCUUAACUGUCCAAAUUCCGAGGGGACUGCUAGUCUUGGGACCGGGAGAGGUCAGAGGUACUCAGGGGGUAGGGGCUAAAUCCUGUAAUCCUUUGGGGACCACCAGUGGCGAAGGCGUCUGACUAGAACGGAUCCGACGGUAAGGGACGAAACCCUGGGGCGCGAACCGGAUUAGAGACCCGAGUAGUCC
rnacentral:rRNA from 1 species